rnacentral:lncRNA from 1 species
GCCAAAGUUUCCAAGGGAUUGGCAGGGCGGCAAUAAGCAAUUUAGACUGAUCACCAUCAACAACCAUGUAGGACUGCUGCUGCUCUUUUCUGAUGACUCACAUAAUAGCAUUGUUUGGUUCUAUUUUAUAGAGAGAACAAACAUUGCCUCAGUGAAAGGAAAAAAGGAAACAGAAGCAAACUGAUAAUGAUUGUACUUUCUAAAGGAAGAAAAAGUCAAGAUGUCUUUCAAGGAUGACUCCUCUUUCGCUGAAAGUCCUUUGCAAGUCCCAUAUGAAUCUGCCAAGAAGUCUGGCCACUCAAAACAUGAAUUUUCCAGAUAAUUUGCUGAAAAGGGGAGUAAAAAGGAAGAAGGCCCAUCUCUAAUGACCCUGAUGACAAAACCAUUUGUCUGCAAGGACUUCUCACAGAUGACACAAGAAUUUAGUGUUUACCCAAAUGUCUUUGGGUCAGAUCUUUACAUAAAACAAACUGGAAUAUACCUUUAUGUAGCUCAAUCUUUUUCAACUGAUGCUUCAGAAAUUUUCUAUGAAGAGCCUCCACUUAAAAAAAGAAAGUAGUGAUGCUACCACAGUCCAUGCCAAAAUGUACCAAUAGGAUACAGGCUGGAAUCUUCAGCAAGUGGAAGUCAGUCUAUCUCCAAGAUUUAAAUAUUUAUAUAGGCCCUAGCUGGCAUGAACAGCAUAUGCAUUUCAGCAAGGACAAAGGAAGAGUUCAUCAUUCCUUUACAAGGACUCCCAGCCAGGUCUUCCCUAGAAUCCAGCAUCUUGAAAGGCACAAGUGUAAUGAUGAUUUUCUUGGAGAAGUGAGAAAGCUUGGAA